rnacentral:rRNA from 1 species
GACGAACGCUGGCGGCGUGCUUAACACAUGCAAGUCGAACGGAAAGGCCCUGCUUUUGUGGGGUGCUCGAGUGGCGAACGGGUGAGUAACACGUGAGUAACCUGCCCUUGACUUCGGGAUAACUUCAGGAAACUGGGGCUAAUACCGGAUAGGAGCUCCUGCUGCAUGGUGGGGGUUGGAAAGUUUCGGCGGUUGGGGAUGGACUCGCGGCUUAUCAGCUUGUUGGUGGGGUAGUGGCUUACCAAGGCUUUGACGGGUAGCCGGCCUGAGAGGGUGACCGGCCACAUUGGGACUGAGAUACGGCCCAGACUCCUACGGGAGGCAGCAGUGGGGAAUAUUGCACAAUGGGCGGAAGCCCGAUGCAGCAACGCCGCGUGCGGGAUGACGGCCUUCGGGUUGUAAACCGCUUUCGCCUGUGACGAAGCGUGAGUGACGGUAAUGGGUAAAGAAGCACCGGCUAACUACGUG